UGCAGAUCUGGUUGAUUCUGCCAGAGGUCACUGCUAUCGGGGUUCGAUUAAGCCAUGUGAGUCGAGAGGGUUCGGCCCUCGGCGUACUGCUCAGUAACACGUGGAUAACCUGCCCUAGGGAAGGGGAUAACCCCGGGAAACUGGGGAUAAUACCCUAUAGGUUACAGAUGCUGGAAUGCCCUGUAACCCAAAGUUCCGACGCCCUAGGAUGGAUCUGCGGCCGAUUAGGUAGUUGUUGGGGUAAUGGCCCAACAAGCCUGUAAUCGGUACGGGUUGUGGGAGCAAGAGCCCGGAGUUGGAUUCUGAGACACGAAUCCAGGCCCUACGGGGCGCAGCAGGCGCGAAACCUUUACAAUGCGGGCAACCGUGAUAAGGGAACCUCGAGUGCCUGUAAACGCAGGCUGUUCAGGUGUUUAAAACGCACCUGAAGAAAGGGCCGGGCAAGACCGGUGCCAGCCGCCGCGGUAACACCGGCGGCUCGAGUGGUGGCCACUUUUAUUGGGCUUAAAGCGUUCGUAGCUGGGUUGUUUAGUCUCUUGGGAAAUCUGGCGGCUUAACCGUCAGGCGUCUAAGGGAUACUGGCAAUCUUGGAACCGGGAGAGGUGAGGGGUACUUCGGGGGUAGGAGUGAAAUCCUGUAAUCCUCGAGGGACCACCUGUGGCGAAGGCGCCUCACCAGAACGGCUU
rnacentral:rRNA from 1 species